rnacentral:rRNA from 1 species
UAAACGAUAAACCACGUAAAAUCUUACCUACUUUUGAUAGUUUAUAUACCGUCAUUAAAGAUAACCUUUAUAGAGUUAGUUAUUGAAAUAAUUUCUUUUAAUAUGUUAGAUCAAGGUGUAGCAUAUAAGUAGGUUAAAAUGGGCUACAAUAAAAUUUGUGUUUAAUAAACGUAAAACUUUUUGAAUAAAAAGUAAUAAGGUGGACUUUAAAGUAAAGUUAUUUUAAUAUGAUAACUUGAUUUUAGCUCUAAAAUGUGCACAUAUCGCCCGUCGCUCGCGGGAAAA